AUUGCACCCAAAGAUGAUAGAGCAGAGUUGUAUAAUAUUUGAUUGCACCCUUCUUCACGGCGGGCUUGUGAUCUUUGCUUAUGAUGUCUUGACAAUUCGAGGGACAUAACGGGUAACAGCCGCCCAUUCUCGGACUUGAAUCUGAGCUCGAAAAAUCUCCUGGUCACUGGACCUGAUGUGUCCGCGGGCCAUAUUGUGGAGACCAAUCCCUUACAAGAUCAAAACCAAAAACGUACAGAAGUGUUAAAAUUGUCUUUAUUAUUGUGAUACAUUUCGUCAUGCUGAUCUGCAAACAACUGUUUAAUUCAGUACCUUCCGCCUGGUUGACAGCUUCAACUUCCUAUGCAACAAAAUCACCAGCAACCUAAACUGGUUCCUUCGCACGGAUGGUGUGAUCAAGAUAGUUCAUCAGCAUAUUUACUUUCUUAAGCAUUUGAGAAGAUUCAGCAAGUUCACAAGGAUUAUCCUCAACUUGAAGAUCAACACAAAAUGCUGAAGUAACUCAGCAGGACAGCCUAUGGAUAGGUGUUGGAGCCAAGUUUAUUAUAGUCUUGUCUAGUUACCUUUAAUUAUUAUCUGCCUGUGUUAAUGUGGGUGGGAUUUUAUACAUAGUCUGGGGCGUGUUUUUGACUAGAGGAUUCUGGCGCAGACACUCAGAUGAUGAGUUUCAGUUUUGAUCGGGCCAUGGAUUGAAACAGUUUGCUACCAUGACCACGAGCAUGAUCGUGACAUAUUUAUUGUAGAUCAGUGCAUGUUCCUUUAACCAUAGUGACCUCCCCAAUACUAACCACUCCCCAUUGUCUCCAGUAUAAUUGUAGUGUCCCCACCUCUAGCUCGCUCUCUAGCUCCAGUGAUGACCACGGACAGCUACAGCUUAGUGUAAAGAGUUAGUUUAAUAAACAGUUACAGUAAAAG